rnacentral:rRNA from 1 species
AACCUGACCCAUUACUCAGGGAUAGCCUUGCGAAAGUAAGNUUAAUACCUGAUGUUGUUAAAAACCCGCAUGAGUUUUUAACCAAGAUUUAUUGGUAACGGAUGGGGAUGCGUGACAUUAGGUAGAUGGCGGGGUAACGGCCCACCAUGCCUACGAUGUCUAGGGGUUCUGAGAGGAAGGUCCCCCCACACUGGAACUGAGACACGGUCCAGACUCCUACGGGAGGCAGCAGGUGAGGAAUAUUGGGUCAAUGGGCGCAAGCCUGAACCAGCCAAGUAGCGUGAAGGAAGACUGCCCUAUGGGUUGUAAACUUCUUUUAUACGGGAACAAACCCCGGUACGUGUACCGGAUUGCGUGUACCGUAUGAAUAAGCAUCGGCUAACUCCGUG